rnacentral:tRNA from 1 species
CAGAAAAUAGUUUAAAAAAAAUAUUAACUUUGGGAGUUAGCGAUAAAAUGUUAUUUUUUUUCUGA